CCUACGGGGUGCAGCAGUGGGGAAUUUUGGACAAUGGGCGCAAGCCUGAUCCAGCUAUUCCGCGUGUGGGAUGACGGCCUUCGGGUUGUAAACCACUUUUGUAGAGAACGAAAAGUCUGUUGAUAAUACCGAUAGAUGAUUACGGUACUCUAAGAAUAAGCACCGGCUAACUACGUGCCAGCAGCCGCGGUAAUACGUAGCGUGCGAGCGUUAUUCGGAAUUACUGGUCGUAAAGGGUGUGCAGGCGGUUUUGCAAGAUGGAUGUGAAAGCCCCGGGCUUAACCUGGGAAAGCCAUACAUGACUGCAAGACUAGAGUGCGUCAGAGGGGGGUGGAAUUCCAAGUGUAGCAGUGAAAUGCGUAGAUAUUUGGAAGAACACCGAUGGCGAAGGCAGCCCCCUGGGACGCAACUGACGCUCAUACACGAAAGCGUGGGGAGCAAACAGGAUUAGAUACCCGGGUAGUC
rnacentral:rRNA from 1 species